AAAUCAGGUGAUAACACUUAUCAACGUCACCAGAUUGUCCUUCCCUGGUCCUGGUCCAAAUUGACGACAAGAAAAUGUCAGGCAAUAAUGGAUUACCCAAACUGAUCCCAUGUUUGGACAUAAAUGACCCUCAGUUUGAUGGAGUUGUGGUUGUUACAGACACUGUCCAAAAGCUAGUGGACAAUAAGCUUGAUAAAGUUGCUGCUGCAGUACAGGAAUACGCAAAAGUGGACUCUGCUUUUAACAAAGAUGUAGUUUUGAUAAACACAGAUGCUGUUCCAUCAAAAAGAUUAAUCUUUGCCCCUACUGGGCCUUUGAACAGGGACUAUGAUGAUGUGAGAAGAUUUUAUGAUGCAGCUGAAAAAGGAAUCAAGAGGUACAUACAAUCUUAGAUUUGUAAAAAAAAUAAUCUGUUACAAGUUUAGACUUCUUUAAAACUUACAGAGAGAAAAAUAGUAAGGUAGUAAAUCAACAACUGUUUUGUUAUACCCCUACUAAUUUAUAACUCGUUCUCGCGGAAUAUGACAUCACCGGUCAACAGUCUUUUUAAAAGUCAAUUUUAACAGUUCUAAUCCAACAGUUCCAGUCCACCAGUCAAAAUGCUGAACCUUUUUUUGUAAAGAGUUAAAUAGUAUUUGUUUUACAGGGUUAUAACAAAUAUAAAUGUUGCAAAUGUCUGGAGCUUUGGCCUUGUUAUUAACACAUUGUUUUUCAGAGCCCUACAAGCUGGAUGUAAGAAACCCCUCCUUGUUCGUCCAGUAGACAACAGUUUCCCUAAAGCAGGGAGUGUCACCACACUAGGAUGUCUGUCAGCCCUCUAUGUGGUCUGUUGAUGACUAGGUCUAAUAUUUUAAACACUACAUGUUCAUAUACCGUAAUGUCUUUUAUAAAAAUUAAAAUCAAAGAUGGAAAGGGAGCUUAUAUGUACAUCACCAUCUAAACUAACCAACAAUGGAUGAAUGACGAAUUAAUUAUAAUUUGAGCUGAACUGCUUGACUCUCCUUGCUUUACUUAAACAGCACUGAAACUGAUAAACGUAUGAACUAAGAAAUUAUGUUUGUCAUGCUCUUAUUCUGAAUAAAUCUCUAUAUGAUUAAUGUCUCCACAGCCCUUGGAGAUCCGUGAGGAUGUUCCCUCCAGAGCCAGUAAAGCGGAGGCGGUGGGGAUCUGGUGUAACUCGGAGGAGCGGGUUCAACAGGGGAUUGUCCUGGCAAACGCUGUGGAAGCUGGAAGAAUUGUGACCAGAGAUAUUGGUGGAUCUGACCCCGAGAGAAUGGCGGCCCCUAAUGUUGCAAAGUACGUGGAGGAGGUGUUCAAGGGAACAUGCAUCAAGGUGUCUGUGAAGUCAGACCAGGACCAGUUGAACAAGGAGUACCCUCUGUAUGGGGCAGUCAAUAGGGCAGCCAGUCAGGUCAGCAGGCACCAAGGCAGGGUGAUUUUUCUGGAAUACACAGGAGAAGGAAACACUGAGAAGACACUGUUCUUAGUUGGCAAGGGUGUGACCUAUGACACUGGUGGAGCUGACAUCAAGGCCGGUGGGGUGAUGGCGGGGAUGCACAGGGACAAGUGUGGGGCGGCAGCUGUGGCAGGAUUCUUCAAGAUUUUGAGUGAAAUGAAACCAAAAGGUCUGAAGGUUGUUGGAGCCAUGGCAAUGGUCAGAAACAGUGUAGGAUCAAACUGCUAUGUGGCUGAUGAGAUCAUCACUUCACGCGCUGGGGUCAGAGUUCGGGUCGGGAACACUGACGCUGAGGGACGAAUGGCAAUGGCCGAUGUUCUCUGUCAUCUUAAAGAGCAGGCAUUGACUGCUGUCAACCCUCAGCUGUUUACCAUUGCCACUCUAACUGGUCACGUGAUCAGAGCCUAUGGAGAAAAUUACUCGGUAUGCAGAUUGUUGAAACAGUGAAACCACCACCACCUCUUUACAACUCUCCUCUGCCAGCAAAAAUGGGAUUGAAAACUAUAGAGAAAUAUAUAAAAAAAACACCUAAAAUUAGUUAGCCUGUACAAUAACCUGUAAUUUGUGAAUUCAAAAACUUGAUCAAGAUUAUAAUACAUGCAAUAGAAAUGGAAGAUUUUUUUUUGCAAGUGCUGCUUUCAUUUAUAUAUGUUUCUAGGCUAUUCUUGACAAUGGACCAGCUAGAAACAUGAACAAUGCCCAAGAGAUUCAGGCAGCAGGGGAUGAGUGGGCAGAUCCAUUCGAGAUCUCCACCCUCAGGAGAGAUGACUACGACUUCCACCGUGGCAAGUCGGAGUAUGAGGAUGUCCUGCAAUGUAACAACUCCCCCUCCUCCGCCACGGCCCGUGGUCACCAGACACCCGCCGCAUUCCUGAUAGAGGCCUCAGGGCUUGAGAAGCACGGAAAGGAAUCGGACAAACCUUUGCCUUACUCCCAUCUGGACAUCGCCGGCUCCUCUGGACCAUUCCCUGGUGUCCCCACGGGGGCCCCGAUUGUUGCAUUAGCAGCACAAUUUGUGUUUCCACGAUGCUAAAGUCAGAAUGCAUGGUUAAGUGUGUUGGGAUCGAGCAAACGAACUAAUUUUUCAGCUCAAGGAACUCAAGAUCAAAUCUACACGCUUAUUUAACAAUGUAAGCAGUUAAAAAUAUAAUAAAUUAGUCAGUUGAUGAAUUGGUGAAGGAAUGUCAUAACAUUUGAUUGGUAUUGUCCCAGAACUUUACAUGUUUGAUUUAUUGCUUAAUAUUUACAUUUUAUUCAUUGACCAAUGCAGAGCUUUUGCAAUACUUUGAUGUAUAAAUGUGCGUGUUGAUUUUCUUAUUAUUAAUAAACACACUUUAUACAAUUUUG
rnacentral:misc_RNA from 1 species